AGCAGCCGCGGUAAUUCCAGCUCCAAUAGCGUAUAUUAAAGUUGUUGCAGUUAAAAAGCUCGUAGUUGAAUUUCGGGGUCAGUAGGUUGGUCAUGCCUCCGGUAUGUACUGGUCUCACUGAUUCCUCCUUCCUGAUGAGCCGUAAUGCCAUUAAUUUGGUGUUGCGGGGAAUCUGGACUGUUACUUUGAAAAAAUUAGAGUGUUUAAAGCAAGCUAACGCUUGAAUACAUUAGCAUGGAAUAAUGGAAUAGGACGUUCGAUCCUAUUUUGUUGGUUUCUAGGAUUGACGUAAUGAUUAAUAGGGAUAGUUGGGGGCAUUAGUAUUCAAUUGUCAGAGGUGAAAUUCUUGGAUUUAUUGAAGACUAACUACUGCGAAAGCAUUUGCCAAGGAUGUUUUCAUUAAUCAAGAACGAAAGUUAGGGGAUCGAAGACGAUCAGAUACCGUCGUAGUCUUAACCAUAAACUAUGCCGACUAGGGACCGGAUGAUGUUAAUUUUUUAAUGACUCAUUCGGCGCCUUACG
rnacentral:rRNA from 1 species